UUUCAGGAUUUUAUCAAGAAAAAUAAAAUCAGUUUUUUGCUUGUAUUCACGGAGAUAUGUUCAAUAUGUAGUAGAGCCUCUCAUUUGGAGAUGACUGUAUUACGCCCUCAAAUGCCACAUGAAAGAAUUUCAAGCCUCCAUAUUGGCUAACAACAGAACGUAGCUUUUAUUUUAGAGUAGAAAAUUUUUAGCCAUGAUUUGGAUUUACACGAAAUAAAGGAACCCCAGGAGAAUCUUAAGACUUAGUUCUUUCUAUGAUUGUUAGUUUCACAUUUGUUAAGUUUGAGAUGGUUAUUUCUGAUAUUUAGCCCAUGGACCUUGCCCUCUUUUUGUUGAACAAGUAGGUAGCCCGUAGGUCUUCUUCCUUUGCUUGGAUUUGAUGCACAUUGUACCCCAUAUAUAUGUCAAGUACUUUAAAUCAUUUAGGUGCAACAGCAACAACCAUAGUGAUGAGAACGGCAACAUAACUAAAGCAACGGAUAGAAACCUCAGAAAGUGGUUGUAUACUCCAUCAGGCCAUUCACUUGCUCAGUCUCACAGACAUUUUAUGCUUCAUAACAGUAGAACUCACUGUGUACCACACUCUGUUUGUGAUUCCCACAUGUCUAAACACAUAUAUAAUAAAACUAACAGAUACGCACUGAAAAACUGUUUCCUCUAGUGCAAAAAAACAAGAGUGAAAGAGUAGGGAGUAAUUCACCUCUCUCCGUAUAAAACCUUUUUCUAUAGGUACUUCACAAAAACAGAAUUGCACAAAAUGGGGGGCCAACGAUAGUACAUGGGAAGUAUACAAGAUAAACACUCAAAAAGGAAAUGCACAAAACAUCUGGCAAGUACAUGCAAACACAACAUAUAGCCGAACAUAAAUAUUCCAUUCAUGAAAUAUUUAAUGUAUGGUGAGUUGACUUCCAACCACAAAGUAAUAACUUGAUGUAGACAGGCUUAUGGAAAUCGGCAUAUUAUGGUGGAGCCAUAAGGAUGAACUCAUGGACUUCUACAGAUGUUUUUAUUAGAGAAAUUCUGAUCUGAAGCCUGUUUAAGACCACACACCACACACCUUUAUUACAUGGCAAACCGGGUCUGAAGACAAUGAGGAUAAACCGGUGGUUCAAGACAAAAUCAAGAAAGGGGUUACUCUGUUCUCUCUCCUCCCUUGUCAUUCGACUCUCUCUCUCCCCCCAUUGUUCUUCAAACUGCAAGUUCUCAACGGCAGUCAUGGUUGAUCGUUGGUGGUUUUCCAGGCACGGUUGAUCAUUGGCGGUUUUCCAGGUCUGGCCACUCUUCCCCCCCCCCCGGCGGGGGUCAUCUCUUCUUUUGUAUGUUUUGGAUAUGGAAAUUAUCAGCCAAAAAAAUAAAAAAACCCUAGAGAAAUAGAGACCCACUUAGUUAGAUCAGCGACUGUUUCUAACUCCACUAAUUCUUGCUUGGGAUUAUGACCUACUAGGAAUGCUUUCACAGUGUAAGAACCCUUUUUUCCCUUUUCAGUUUAUUGUUUUCAUUGGAACUGGAGAUUCUGAUUUUGACGUUUCAGGAAUUGUUUCUUUCCAUAUGACCAUCAUUGUUGGAGAAUCCAGUUUUAGUUUCUUCCAAAUAGGUUCUUCCUUGCAUGCUCUUCAAAUGUGGUUUCUUCCUUGCAGACACAAGCUUUUCCCAUUCUUUCGAUUUUUCAGCCUAAA